GUCUGUCUGUCUGUCUGUCUCUCUCUCUCUCUCUCUCUCUCUCUCUCUCACACACACACACACACACAGAGAGAGAGAGAGAGAGAGAGAGAGAGAGAGAGAGAGAGAGAGAGAGAGUUUAU
rnacentral:miRNA from 1 species